rnacentral:rRNA from 1 species
ACAACCUGGCGGCAGGCUUAACACAUGCAAGUCGAGCGCCCCUCCUUCAAGCAGGCUUGAGGGAGUUUUUCCUUGGGAAGAACUUCAAGCAAGCAGGGCUUGCUUGAUGGAGGGGAGCGGCAGACGGGUGAGUAACGCGUGGGAACGUACCCUUUACUACGGAAUAACCCAGGGAAACUUGGACUAAUACCGUAUGUGCCCUUCGGGGGAAAGAUUUAUCGGUAAAGGAUCGGCCCGCGUUGGAUUAGCUAGUUGGUGGGGUAAAGGCCUACCAAGGCGACGAUCCAUAGCUGGUCUGAGAGGAUGAUCAGCCACACUGGGACUGAGACACGGCCCAGACUCCUACGGGAGGCAGCAGUGGGGAAUAUUGGACAAUGGGCGCAAGCCUGAUCCAGCCAUGCCGCGUGAGUGAUGAAGGCCCUAGGGUUGUAAAGCUCUUUCAACGGUGAAGAUAAUGACGGUAACCGUAGAAGAAGCCCCGGCUAACUUCGUGCCAGCAGCCGCGGUAAUACGAAGGGGGCUAGCGUUGUUCGGAAUUACUGGGCGUAAAGCCACGUAGGCGGAUCGGUCAGUUACGGGUGAACAUCCCAG